GACGAACGCUGGCGGCGUGCUUAACACAUGCAAGUCGAACGGGAUGUAGUAAACAGUAACCUCGGUGGAAGAUUACUAAUGAGAGUGGCGAACGGGGGAGUAACGCGUGAGCAACCUGCCUAUGACAGUGGGAUAGCCUCGGGAAACCGGGAUUAAUACCGCAUAAAAUCGUAGAAACACAUGUUUUAACGGUCAAAGAUCUAUCGGUUAUAGAUGGGCUCGCGUCUGAUUAGCUAGUUGGUGAGAUAACAGCCCACCAAGGCGACGAUCAGUAGCCGGUCUGAGAGGAUGAACGGCCACAUUGGAACUGAGCCACGGUCCAAACUCCUACGGGAGGCAGCAGUGGGGAAUAUUGCACAAUGGGGGAAACCCUGAUGCAGCGACGCCGCGUGAACGAAGAAGGUAUUCGUAUCGUAAAGUUCUGUCCUAUGGGAAGAUAAUGACAGUACCAUAGAAGAAAGCUCCGGCUAAAUACGUG
rnacentral:rRNA from 1 species